rnacentral:tRNA from 1 species
GGGGCCGUACCGGCUCCGGCUCCUAUCCGGCUCGCCGUAGCGGAUGACGCGGGUUCGACUCCCGCCGGCCCCACCA